GAUGAAGAACGCAGCGAAAUGCGAUAAGUAAUGUGAAUUGCAGAAUUCAGUGAAUCAUCGAAUCUUUGAACGCACAUUGCGCCCGCCAGCAUUCUGGCGGGCAUGCCUGUUCGAGCGUCAUUUCAACCCUCGAGCCCCCCCGGGGGCCUCGGUGUUGGGGGACGGCACACCAGCUGCCCCCGAAAUGCAGUGGCGACCUCGCCGCAGCCUCCCCUGCGUAGUAGCACACACCUCGCACCGGAGCGCGGAGACGGUCACGCCGUAAAACGCCCAACUUCUUAGAGUUGACCUCGGAUCAGGUAGGAAUACCCGCUGAACUUAAGCAUAUCAAUAAGCGGAGGA
rnacentral:misc_RNA from 1 species